ensembl:lncRNA
CCCAAAAACGAAAAACAAAAACAAAAGCCCAAAAAAACCCACUACUUUUUAAUUGAUAGAUAUAUUAGGUAUUUAAAACCCGAGUUUUAAAGUCCUUCUGUUUAUUGUUCCUAUAAGCAGGGUUGAUGACAAAAGCAGAUGCACUCCAUUACUCCUGUGACAGCAAACCAUGUGGCUUCUUUGUGUUCCAGCUACAUUUUGGACUUUAAUUAAAUGUAGCAUCACAUUCCUUGGCUUUUCUCUCUACUGUGUCCCUUCACAUACUUCCAUUUUUAUUUUCCCCUUGUCUUCCCCCACCCAUAUUUUCCUCUUUAGAACUCCCCCUAAUUUAUGGUAUCCAUGUGUGUGCCUUGGGUGAGCUCUGAGCCCCUGCAGCUGCCGCAGCGCUGAGGUGAUCUGAUCAGCACUUGCUGAGCAAGGAUUUGGGUUUCCCAGAGCUCAGGACAUUUUUGUACACUUCCCUUUUCUCCUGUCAGCGUGAAAUAUAUGUGACACAUAACGUGAUGUGUGAUAGGAGGGCGUACGAAAAAACCGAGAUACCCUCAGAGGUGCCUUCAGGUUUUGAAGAAAAAUAAAAAAAAAGGAGCAGGAAAUCAAACAAGCGGCGCUGAAGAUGUUGGUUGUAGCUCUUUGCAGGGCAGUUUCUCGGUUGGUGCCGUUGCUAUCGCUCCCAGGGCGUUUUACAGGCCCCGUGAGGGUGCCUGCGCCUCUGGGCACGCCGAUAAGCGCGGCCCGGGGGCGGUGGGCUAGCCCCGACCGCACCGCCUUUCCCUUCCCCUGCUGGGCCGGGGCAGGGGGAGAGCCGUGCCCCGUUAUCACCGCCCUGCAGAGGGGCACCGCCAGCACCUCCGUGCCCGGCCCCUCCAGCCCCAGCCCGGCGCUGAGCGCCUCUAUCAGCUCAGCUCCCUCAGGGCCGCGGGGAGCGCCCGCCCGGGGCUCUGCAGGGGCGGCCUCAGCUGCGCCAGCAGAACCGCUCCUUUCUAGGGAUUUCCGUCCUACAUCUUCAGGAGACCGGGUUCCCUUCCAGCAGUCUCCUUCAGCAGUCAAGGGUGUGCCCAGAAAUAUCUUUUCAUCCUCCCACCAUGCCUCUUCAAAAGCUUUUUACCCUCUGAGGAAGGACCUCGAGGGAAUACCAUACACAGGGCUGAUUUCCUCCCAGCUUUCCCCAGCUGGGAUCCAGUGGGAACAACCAUCCAUCCUCUGGGAGCUUCUGCUGCCCCAGAUCUGGUUGUGUCAAGGAGAGUCUCCAUGGACUUGGUCUAACAAAGGCAUGAUGGAUCUGACCCUUUGUAAUCUUUGCCAAUAAAGCUGGAAAAAUGUUAUUUUUUUCCUCUGUUGCUAUCCUGCCAAACAUCAUUUUGCUCCCAGGAAAGCCUGGCUUUGAAUCAUGCUCAGUGCAAUAGUUACCCACCUGGGCUUGUAUCUUUUACCCAAGCAUGCCAACUAUUUUUUUUCCCUUUGUAUUGCCAAGGUUUUUUUGAUUUAUUGUGCCUCAGCUCUUUCUGAGGUAAAGUUAUUAUCGUGAAAGAAGAUUUUCCUGAUCAGUUGCCAUAAUAAACAAAGCAAAUCUGCCUUGGGUGAUUGCAGACAUCAAGCACACUUGGAUCCCUGUUGCUCAGGAUUUAUUAUGGACCAUAAUAUGUCUAUGGGAUGCAUGCAGAGGAAGCUCAGAGGGGAAAAAGGGCUCCUAUCCCAA